GAAAAAUUAAUAUACUUGAAUAAACAACAGUUGACUUCCCUGUUUAUAUUUAGUUGAGUAGCAGGAUUGCUCCCCCUCAAUGUAUAGUCAACUGGAUCCCCCUGUGUAUGUGCAUUCGAUGUGUUCUCCCCCUCAUUAGGUUCAGUCGACUGGUACCUGUAAAGAAAUAUCGAACAGUUGUCUGGGAAAUAGGUGCAUACACUAGUCAACUUGCCUUUUCAGUAGUCGACUUGACUCUUCAGUUUGUACUAUGCCAUAGCGAUAAUACUUAGUUGACUUGACCUGUGCAGAUAUACAAAAACAUACAAAGCAUAUACGC
rnacentral:lncRNA from 1 species